rnacentral:lncRNA from 1 species
AACCGUUGAAAAAAUUACUGCAUCGCGUCGAAUUUUUGCUGUAUCAGGGAAAUAUUUUUUUGCAUGCAGAUCCAACGGUGAAGACGCGCAGGGUUGGUGGAUCGUACUGCCCGUGCGCCGGCGCAGAGCACUGUCCAAAAAAUAUUUGGGCGCAUGAGACUUGAGCCCAGGACCUCAACUCUAAAUACAUACUGCGCUAGCCAACUAAGCUAGUACUUUAUUCCAAUAUAGGUUAAAUUUUGUUUUUUGUUACAACCAUUGAAAAAAUUGCUGCAUCAGAGAAAAAAUGUUGCAUGGAGAUGCAAUGAUGGGACGCGCAGGGUUGGUUGGUUGCGGACCGCACGCCGGGCGUACAGCACUGUCCAGAAAAUAAAUUAUAUUGACACAGCUGAGAUUGGAACCCCAGACCUCUGGGAACCCAAUGGUGCCAGCCGUCGGCUGUGCUUGCUCGUGUGAUAAAUUAGCAGGUCUGUCCUAUAAAUACCAAAGAAAUACGGGUCUUCUUUCCCACAAGGCACACACGCAAUGGCAGUCAACAGAACAUGUGGAAGUUGCUGCAAUGGACCUGCUGCGCUGGGGAACCGGGCGGGGAUAGCGCUGGCCGAGGGGUCGAGGUCCGGCACGGACAUGGAGGCGCCGGGCCCGCCCGUGAGGAGUCAAUUCCGGGGAGAGCUCCUUGGGGCAGCAUCCAUGACGGGCACCUGCUGAGACACAGAGAGAGGCAGGGAGAUUAGACGGAGAUGGACAAGAGAAGGAAGAAUGGAGAGGGGCACGAGGACCUGGCCUGGACCUGCGGCAGGACGAUGGCGCGGAUGAAGCUCCAUGGCCAUGGCGACCUCCCUGUAACAGAGAAAGCAAGAGGGAUAGAGGGAGAUGUGAGAGAGAUGCGAAAACGUGGGGGAAAAUGCAAGGGAGGGAAGAAGGAGAGGACGCGAUGGGUCCGACCUGCAACGUUGCUGCAGGGUUGGAGGAGCGGAGGAGGCCGGUGCCCUGCGAGCUCGAGCUCGGGAUCGAGGAACUCCCUUCGAUCCGAUCGAGCGGGGCUGGAAGAAGGCGUCGGGUCCAAGAGCUUGGGCCUUCUGGGGCGUCUUCGACGGCGGGGGAAGGCUGGCUGAUGAUUGGGAUUGGAGUAGCGCGGAGAUCGAGAAAAUUGGAUUUUUGCCACUUUAUUCGUUGGGCUUCGCACAAUUGCCAUUCUAGAGAUUUGAUUCGCAC